rnacentral:rRNA from 1 species
CCUACGGGAGGCAGCAGUGGGGAAUAUUGCACAAUGGGCGCAAGCCUGAUGCAGCAACGCCGCGUGCGGGAUGACGGCCUUCGGGUUGUAAACCGCUUUCAGUAGGGACGCGGUACCUACAGAAGAAGGACCGGCUAACUACGUGCCAGCAGCCGCGGUGAUACGUAGGGUCCGAGCGUUGUCCGGAAUUAUUGGGCGUAAAGGGCUUGUAGGCGGUCCGUCGCGUCAGGAGUGAAAACUCGGGGCUUAACCCCGAGCCUGCUUUUGAUACGGGCGGACUAGAGGGAUGCAGGGGAGAACGGAAUUCCUGGUGGAGCGGUGGAAUGCGCAGAUAUCAGGAGGAACACCGGUGGCGAAGGCGGUUCUCUGGCACACCUGACGCUGAGAAGCGAAAGCGUGGGGAGCAAACAGGCUUAGAUACCCUUGUAGUC